GAGUUUGAUCCUGGCUCAGACCGCACGCUGGCGGCAGGCCUAACACAUGCAAGUCGAACGGAUGUAGCAAUACAUUAGUGGCGCACGGGAGAGUAACGCGUGGGAACCUACCUUUGGGUUCGGGAUAACGUCGGGAAACUGACGCUAAUACCGGAUGACUCCUCAGGGAGAAAGAUUUAUCGCCGAAAGAUGGGCCCGCGUUAGAUUAGCUAGUUGGUGAGGUAACGGCUCACCAAGGCGACGAUCUAUAGCUGGUCUGAGAGGAUGACCAGCCUCACUGGGACUGAGACACGGCCCAGACUCCUACGGGAGGCAGCAGUGGGGAAUAUUGGACAAUGGGGGCAACCCUGAUCCAGCCAUGCCGCGUGAAUGAUGAAGGCCUUCGGGUUGUAAAGUUCUUUUGGUGGGGACGAUGAUGACGGUACCCGCAGAAUAAGCUCCGGCUAACCCCGUGGACGUUGGAACCCUCACGGGUUCUUGUGUCGGAGCUAACGCACUAAGCAUUCCGGCUGGGGAGUACGGUCGCAAGGUUGAAACUCAAAUGAAUUGAUGGGGGGCCGCACAAGCGGUGGAGUAUGUGGUUUAGUUCGACGCAACGCGNGGAACCUUACCAAGCUUCGACAUGUCCAGUGUGGUGCUAGGAGACUAGCCCCUUCAGUUCGGUUGCCUGGAACACAGCUACUGCAUGGUUAUCGUCAGUUCG
rnacentral:rRNA from 1 species